GAUGAACGCUGGCGGCGUGCCUAACACAUGCAAGUCGAACGAAGCACCUUACCGGAUUCUUCGGAUGAAGGUCUGGUGACUGAGUGGCGGACGGGUGAGUAACGCGUGGGUAACCUGCCCUGUACAGGGGGAUAACAGCUGGAAACGGCUGCUAAUACCGCAUAAGCGCACGAGGAGACAUCUCCUAGUGUGAAAAACUCCGGUGGUACAGGAUGGGCCCGCGUCUGAUUAGCUGGUUGGCAGGGUAACGGCCUACCAAGGCAACGAUCAGUAGCCGGUCUGAGAGGAUGAACGGCCACAUUGGAACUGAGACACGGUCCAAACUCCUACGGGAGGCAGCAGUGGGGAAUAUUGCACAAUGGGGGAAACCCUGAUGCAGCAACGCCGCGUGUGAAGAAGUAUUUCGGUAUGUAAAGCUCUAUCAGCAGGGAAGAUAAUGACGGUACCUGACUAAGAAGCUCCGGCUAAAUACGUGCCAGCAGCCGCGGUAAUACGUAUGGAGCAAGCGUUAUCCGGAUUUACUGGGUGUAAAGGGUGCGUAGGUGGCAGUGCAAGUCAGAUGUGAAAGGCCGGGGCUCAACCCCGGAGCUGCAUUUGAAACUGCUCGGCUAGAGUACAGGAGAGGCAGGCGGAAUUCCUAGUGUAGCGGUGAAAUGCGUAGAUAUUAGGAGGAACACCAGUGGCGAAGGCGGCCUGCUGGACUGUUACUGACACUGAGGCACGAAAGCGUGGGGAGCAAACAGGAUUAGAUACCCUGGUAGUCCACGCCGUAAACGA
rnacentral:rRNA from 1 species